UAUGAAGCUUUACUGUAGCCUGGUAUUGAAUUCGAGUUUAUCAUGCGCAGCAUAGGUGGGAGGCAAAGAAAGCAUGUUUGCGGACGUGCUAGAGCCAACGGUGAGAUACCACUCUUGUUAAACCAGACUUCUAAUUUUGAACGCCAUUAUCUGGCCAAAAAACAUUGCCAGGUGGGCAGUUUGACUGGGGCGGUCGCCUCCUAAAAGGUAACGGAGGCGCGCAAAGGUUUUCUCAGGCUGGUUGGAAAUCAGUCGCAGAGUGUAAAGGCAUAAGAAAGCUUGACUGCGAGACCUACAAGUCGAGCAGAGACGAAAGUCGGCCUUAGUGAUCCGACAGUACUGAGUGGAAAGGCUGUCGCUCAACGGAUAAAAGUUA
rnacentral:rRNA from 1 species